AACCUGGUUGAUCCUGCCAGUAGUCAUAUGCUUGUCUCAAAGACUAAGCCAUGCACGUCUAAGUACAAACUAAAUGAUGGUGAAACUGCAAAUGGCUCAUUACAACGGUUAUGAUGUACCCGGGAGUUCCGAUGGAUAUUUCCAGUAACACUAGAACUAAUACAUGCUCCUGCGUUUAUUAGUUUCGCACAGUCCGUCGCUGAGUCAUGGUAAACAGUUGAUCGACUCGACGUCCCGGAACAGUUUCCGCCCCAUCAGCUUCGAUGGUUGGGUAUUGGCCUACCAUUGCAACAACGGGUAACGAGGAAUUAGGGUUUGAUUUCGGAGAGGGAGCCUGAGAAACGGCUACCACAUCUACGGAUGGCAGCAGGCGCGCAAAUUACCCAAUGCAGACACUGUGAGGUAGUGACGAGAAAUAAUAAAGCGGGACUUCUGUUUCGCUAUUAUAAUGAGGAAUAACCAAAGGUCAUUCCGAUUAGCAACUGAUGGGAAAGUCUGGUGCCAGCAGCCGCGGUAAUACCAGCGUCAGUAGCAUAUAUUAAAAUUGUUGCAGUUAAACGUCCGUAGUCUGUACGUCGUCCCAACUCACUGCAGUC
rnacentral:rRNA from 1 species